GACGAACGCUGGCGGCGUGCUUAACACAUGCAAGUCGAACGAAGUGGCGAACGGGUGAGUAAUACGUGGGUAACCUGCCCUCCUUUUUGGGAUAAGCCUUGGAAACGGGGUCUAAUACCGAAUAAAGGGGGAUGGGCUCGCGGCCUAUCAGCUUGUUGGUGGGGUGAUGGCCUACCAAGGCGGUGACGGGUAGCCGGCCUGAGAGGGUGCUCGGCGGCAGUGGGGCUAAGUUACGGCCCAGACUCCUACGUGAUGCAGCAGGGGGGGAUAUUGCACAAUGGGCGAAAGCCUGAUGCAGCGACGCCGCGUGGGGGAUGAAGGCUUUCGGGUUGUAAACCUCUUUCGCUUCGUAUAGGGUAGGUGGAGAAGAAGCGCCGGCUAACUACGUGCCAGCAGCCGCGGUAAUUC
rnacentral:rRNA from 1 species